CUCUUUCGCUGACGAGUGGCGCACGGGUGCGUAACGCGUAUACAAUCUGCCUUUAAGCGGGGAAUAGCCCAUGGAAACGUGGAUUAAUACCCCAUAGUAUGUAGACUUCACCUGGAGACUACAUUAAACAUUUAUGGCUUAAAGAUGAGUAUGCGUCCUAUUAGUUAGUUGGUAAGGUAACGGCUUACCAAGACCGCGAUAGGUAGGGGUCCUGAGAGGGAGAUCCCCCACACUGGUACUGAGACACGGACCAGACUCCUACGGGAGGCAGCAGUGAGGAAUAUUGGACAAUGGAGGCAACUCUGAUCCAGCCAUGCCGCGUGCAGGAAGACGGCCCUAUGGGUUGUAAACUGCUUUUAUACGGGAAGAACCACAUCUACGUGUAGAUGCUUGACGGUACCGUAUGAAUAAGGACCGGCUAACUCCGUGCCAGCAGCCGCGGUAAUACGGAGGGUCCAAGCGUUAUCCGGAAUCAUUGGGUUUAAAGGGUCCGUAGGCGGAAUAAUAAGUCAGUGGUGAAAGUCUGCAGCUCAACUGUAGAAUUGCCAUUGAUACUGUUAUUCUUGAAUUAUUAUGAAGUGGUUGGAAUGAGUAGUGUAGCGGUGAAAUGCAUAGAUAUUACUCAGAACACCUAUUGCGAAGGCAGAUCACUAAUAAUAUAUUGACGCUGAGGGACGAAAGCGUAGGUAGCGAACAGGAUUAGAUACCCUGGUAGUCUACGCCGUAAACGAUGGUUACUAGCUG
rnacentral:rRNA from 1 species